GGAUAGAUGAUAGAGAGAGAAAGAGGAGCAUAUUGGGGAAUAUAGAAAAAGCAGAGGGAUAAUGCUAAAAAAAGAGCACUCAUAUUUCCUUUGAAGAUCUUCUUUUGCGUUUUCAAGCUUCCGAUAGCCAGACCCAAAAUUCUAACCAUUGAAAAACUCCAUAUACCAAAGCCAUCGUAAAAAUAAAAAAAUAGCCAUGAAACCAACUAUUUUCCUCCAUGAAAUUUAGUUGAAAAUAUAGGUCCAAGGCCCAGCAAUAUUACCUCCAAAAAGAUCUUCAAACACUGCAACAAACACAACAGCAGAUCUGGAAAAACACAGUCAGCUGUGGAUUCUCCAUUCCACUCCUAAAAUCAAUUCUGAAGCAAUGUAAAUAUAGUUUCGCUAGUUCACUGCCUUGCCGGCGUUUUGACGUAUCCGAUCAGUUUUCUUUCACUAUAAGUUGAACUCAGUCCGUCAAGGUCAUCGAGGUCUCUCAAUUCGACGUUUCCGAUUGGCUGAUGAUUUGGAUAGUGUUCGAGUUAUAUCGAUACUUUCUUCUUCGAUGUAUUUAGAGAAAUUUAAUAUGUAAUCAAAUUUCAAAGCUUCUAUUCGUUUAAAGGUUAGCCUCUACUUGCUAGCAUUUUGACACUAUUACUACAUUAAUGUGGUAUUCUCUUAAUUAAUAUAUUUAUGUGUUAGG
rnacentral:lncRNA from 1 species